rnacentral:rRNA from 1 species
AGAGUUUGAUCCUGGCUCAGGACGAACGCUGGCGGCGUGCCUAACACAUGCAAGUCGAGCGGAGACAGUGAGUAGCUUGCUAUGAGCUGUUUUAGCGGCGGACGGGUGAGUAACGCGUGAGCAACCUUUCCCAGACAGGGGAAUAACACACCGAAAGGUGUACUAAUACCGCAUAAGACCACGGGAUCACAUGGUUCUGGGGUAAAAGAUUUAUCGGUUUGGGGUGGGCUCGCGUCUGUAGUUAGGUUAGGUUGGUGGUAACGGG